AAUCACCAGAGCCCUGGGGCCUGCAGGACAGUCUGCUUUGACUUAAAGGUGAGGGCCAGGUCUGGCUUGUUGAUCCUUGAUUCCUCAAUGCCUGGCAUGAUGCCUUGUGGGCAAGCAGCUCCUGUCCAGCAGCCCCUCUCCCAGGACGCCAGCUUUCACCUGGACGCCACCACCUCUUCCCCUGCCUCUGCAGGUCAGGUGGGCGAGCGGCUUCCCCCUGUGGGCAGCUGCUGUGGGCACCAACGUCUCUUACUACUUCUGGGAAGCUACGCACACCUCUGUAAAUGGUCACUUCACUAAAAAGCCUUUUGAAAACCGCAGCUGAGUGUACUCUCUGUUUCCUGCCUGGACUCUGACAGGUCCUUAAAGAGAAGAAAGUAGGGAAAGAAGCAACAGGAGCCUGGAAGGAUGAGGGGGCUUCUCAGAAGCCCUUAUACAACCCUGGGAGGAACAAGUCUUGUUGUUCCCUGUACUCACCCACUGAGGGGGAAAAGGACUUAGAGAAAGCACUGUGUGAGGCCCACUACACGACGGCCGGCCUGAGUCACCCCAGCUAUCCCGUGGUUAGUGGCUCUCCUCUCUGUGCCCCUCAGUGCUUGGUUCUCUCUAGAUAGGAAUCCUUGAUAAGGUGGGAUUAUAAUUUACUACUUUAUAGGCCUGUCUCCCACACUGGACUGGAAACUUCUCAAAGGCAAAGA